rnacentral:rRNA from 1 species
UGGGGAAUAUUGGGCAAUGGACGCAAGUCUGACCCAGCGACGCCGCGUGCGGGAUGAAGGCCUUCGGGUUGUAAACCGCUUUCAGUAGGGAAGAAGCGAAAGUGACGGUACCUACAAAAGAAGCACCGGCUAACUAUGUG